AACGAACGCUGGCGGCAUGCCUAACACAUGCAAGUCGAACGAGACCUUCGGGUCUAGUGGCGCACGGGUGCGUAACGCGUGGGAACCUGCCCUUAGGUUCGGAAUAACUCCCCGAAAGGGGUGCUAAUACCGGAUAAUGUCUUCGGACCAAAGAUUUAUCGCCUUUGGAUGGGCCCGCGUUGGAUUAGCUAGUUGGUAGGGGAAAAGCCUACCAAGGCGACGAUCCAUAGCUGGUCUGAGAGGAUGAUCAGCCACCCUGGGACUGCGACACGGCCCAGACUCCUACGGGAGGCAGCAGUGGGGAAUAUUGGACAAUGGGCGAAAGCCUGAUCCAGCAAUGCCGCGUGAGUGAUGAAGGCCUUAGGGUUGUAACGCUCUUUUACCCGGGAUGAUAAUGACAGUACCGGGAGAAUAAGCUCCGGCUAACUCCGU
rnacentral:rRNA from 1 species